AGUCCUGUGGCCUAGCGGCGAAGGCAGCCUACUUACAAGAAGACGAUCGGUGGUUCGAGUCCACCCAGGACUAC
rnacentral:tRNA from 1 species